rnacentral:rRNA from 1 species
ACGGGUGAGUAACACGUGGGUAACCUGCCCCUCACUCUGGGAUAACUCCGGGAAACCGGGGCUAAUACCGGAUACGACCUCCUUGGGCAUCCUCGGUGGUGGAAAGUUUUUCGGUGAGGGAUGGACCCGCGGCCUAUCAGCUUGUUGGUGGGGUAAUGGCCUACCAAGGCUUUGACGGGUAGCCGGCCUGAGAGGGCGACCGGCCACACUGGGACUGAGACACGGCCCAGACUCCUACGGGAGGCAGCAGUGGGGAAUAUUGCACAAUGGGCGAAAGCCUGAUGCAGCGACGCCGCGUGAGGGAUGACGGCCUUCGGGUUGUAAACCUCUUUCAGCAGGGACGAAGCGCAAGUGACUGUACCUGCAGAAGAAGCACCGGCUAACUACGUGCCAGCAGCCGCGGUAAUACGUAGGGUGCGAGCGUUGUCCGGAUUUAUUGGGCGUAAAGAGCUUGUAGGCGGCUCGUCGCGUCGGGUGUGAAAACCCGCGGCUUAACCGCGGGCCUGCACCCGAUACGGGCGGGCUAGAGUUCGGCAGGGGAGACUGGAAUUCCUGGUGUAGCGGUGGAAUGCGCAGA